rnacentral:rRNA from 1 species
GACGAACGCUGGCGGCGUGCUUAACACAUGCAAGUCGAACGGAAAGGCCCUGCUUGCAGGGUACUCGAGUGGCGAACGGGUGAGUAACACGUGGGUGAUCUGCCCUGCACUUCGGGAUAAGCCUGGGAAACUGGGUCUAAUACCGGAUAGGAGCCAUUUUUAGUGUGAUGGUUGGAAAGUUUUUUCGGUGUAGGAUGAGCUCGCGGCCUAUCAGCUUGUUGGUGGGGUAAUGGCCUACCAAGGCGGCGACGGGUAGCCGGCCUGAGAGGGUGGACGGCCACAUUGGGACUGAGAUACGGCCCAGACUCCUACGGGAGGCAGCAGUGGGGAAUAUUGUACAAUGGGCGCAAGCCUGAUGCAGCGACGCCGCGUGGGGGAGGACGGCCUUCGGGUUGUAAACUCCUUUCGCUAGGGACGAAGCUUUUUGUGACGGUACCUAGAUAAGAAGCACCGGCUAACUACGUG